rnacentral:tRNA from 1 species
GCUGGCAUGGCUCACUGGUUGAGCAUCAGCUUAUGAACCAGGAGGCCACAGUUGGAUUCCUGGUCAGGGCACAUGCCUGGCUUGUGGGUUCGAUCCCCACUGUGGGCA